rnacentral:lncRNA from 1 species
UAGAAAUAAACAUUGGUAGCAAAGAAUUCUUAAAGGUACUUCAGAAAAUUAUAAGGGAGAGAGUGGAAGAACUUAUUGAAAAGAGGAGCGAGGAACUAUUUCUGAAGCUAGAAAGAAAGAUUAAAACCGUAAGCGAAACCAAUAAUCAGAUUAAAGACCUCUUGCAUCAACAAGCUCCUACACUUUUUCAAUAUACAAGUUUCAACACAUCUUUGAGUUUUGUUCAGAGCAAAGUGACGUCAGAAUGUGACAAUUUGAUUAACAAUAGAAAAACUAAAUUAAUAAAUGAGACCGAACACGAUAUUAUUCAAUUUGUAAAUAAAACGCAGUCGUACGUUUCCAAAACUACGACUGCUAUACAGGCGGGAGUACUACGAAGAUACAAGGAAAUAUUGAGUGAUGUGGAUGCAAUUUCUGUUAGCACAAAUGAGCUCCUGGAUUCUAGAGUAAAAAAUAUGCUCCAAAAUAUUUCAAACAUCGAAUUAGUGGUGGAACAAGCGAUAGCUUUCUUUGCAACGCUUUCCGAAAAUGCUCCUCAGAACAGUGAGAUAAUUAAAUUCGACAACAUAACAACUAAUUUUGGAAAUGGAUACUCCGACACAGAAGGAUUAUUUACUACUCCUAUUGAUGGAUUGUAUACUAUUCAUUGCUCAUUUCUUGUAGUCAAUGGUUAUGUAAAUGUAGAACUCAUGAGGAACGACAAUAAAAUAGGAAGAGGAUACGCAGCGGGAGGAAGACUUGAGCAUACUGGUUCCAUAUUUGUUACAACAGAUUUAAUAGAAGGCGACGAAGUAUAUUGCCGUAAACUUCCUGAUUACAGUACAGGAAUAAUUCGCGGAGAUUUAUACACCACUUUUUCUGGAUGCUUUUUAAAACGAAUUUCAUAAAAGCUUAGGAAUGCUUACCCCAUAUGUUAGAUUUUUUACUUAACAAGAUAUAUAUAUAUAUCGUGUGUACUGUAUGUCGAUGAUGUACAUAAUCACUUUAAAAAAAAGAGAUGUUUUCAUAAUAUUUCUUUGGAAUUUAUUUUAGAUUUUCUAUAUAAUCAAGAAGAGUUAUUUGUAGAGAUAAUGUACUAUCAAAUAAUCGAGAAAUAAAUAGGUUUGUUCAACAAAGGAUAUGAGGCUAUU